AAUGCAGUAGGCCCCGGAAAAGCAGGAUAAUUUUGCUGCCAAAGUUGCGAUGCCAUGCGGUUGUUCGAGACAAAUUUCAAACGUGAGCACCAAUUUAAAGAAAAUUCCAGACAAUCAACACCCCGAAGGCAAAAAAAGAAAGAAUGUCCUUUUUACAAAUUGUCACACCGGAACUUGGCCCAGAUUGGUAGUCUGUGGCUAGCUGCAGCUAGCAUGUGGAAUCGAUUCCUGCAAGGCUGGCAGCAAUAAUGCAAUGGUAAAAUUGUGAACAACAUCUUGGCUGUACCAACCCUACCCUUAAUUGACAUCAGAGCAUGGAAGCAGAAAAACGGUAUGAUGCGAAUCAAUCUCCGGAAGGAUCUUCCGAAAAUCCGUUUGAAGCUGGGCUGCUCGACAAAGAAGAUGUUCUGUAUCCUUCUGGCAUCCAAG